rnacentral:pre_miRNA from 1 species
GUCUGACUCUCCGUGUUCACUGUUGGGCCUCUAUGUUUUUAUAUUAUACCAUAAGGCACGCGGUGAAUGCCAAGAGAUAGACU